CGUAACAAGGUCUCCGUUGGUGAACCAGCGGAGGGAUCAUUACCGAGUUUACAACUCCCAAACCCCUGUGAACAUACCUUAUGUUGCCUCGGCGGAUCAGCCCGCGCCCCGUAAAAAGGGACGGCCCGCCGCAGGAACCUUAAACUCUGUUUUUAGUGGAACUUCUGAGUAUAAAAAACAAAUAAAUCAAAACUUUCAACAACGGAUCUCUUGGUUCUGGCAUCGAUGAAGAACGCAGCAAAAUGCGAUAAGUAAUGUGAAUUGCAGAAUUCAGUGAAUCAUCGAAUCUUUGAACGCACAUUGCGCCCGCCAGUAUUCUGGCGGGCAUGCCUGUUCGAGCGUCAUUUCAACCCUCAAGCCCAGCUUGGUGUUGGGAGCUGCAGUCCUGCUGCACUCCCCAAAUACAUUGGCGGUCACGUCGAGCUUCCAUAGCGUAGUAAUUUACAUAUCGUUACUGGUAAUCGUCGCGGCCACGCCGUUAAACCCCAACUUCUGAAUGUUGACCUCGGAUCAGGUAGGAAUACCCGCUGAACUUAAGCAUAUCAAUAAGC
rnacentral:rRNA from 1 species